UUGACAUUUGUUUUUAUUUGUUAAAACACGUCAAAAGUAAUACAACUUUUUGACGAUGUGUUUAAAAAGGCGGUUUUACUGACAAGAAAGUCUUAAAUAGUAGUACGAGGUUUGUUUUAUAGUUUUUUGAAAAUAGUCUGUGCUAAAUUCGUCAUGACAAGAGGAAUUUCAAUUUGAAAAAACUUGAAGCAAAUAAUGACCUUGGUACAGUGUAUCUUAAAUAAUUUUACCCUAUAAUAAGAGAAGACAUUUAGACAAGUUACCAAAAUCGGAAGGGCCAAAAAAGAACAACAGUAUUGAUCGACAGACGCGUUUAACACGCGUUUGGUUUAGAAACAGUUCAGAAAAGAUUGGUAGCAACAAAGCUAUUUAGCAGACGACCAGCUAAAAAACCGUUCAUUUUGGGAAUAAAUAGAGCAGCAAGAUUUGGAUACGCCCGACGUCAUUUAAACUGACCAGUCAACGACUGGAAAAAAGUUCUAUUUACUGAUGAAACAAGAUAGAAACGAUUUAUAAUGUAGUUAUGACGGGAUGAGACGUGUGAGGCGACCAAUCGACACAAUGUUUAAACCCAAAUAUGUAACUAUUAUUAAACAUGGGAAAGGAAGUGUU